rnacentral:lncRNA from 1 species
UACUUAUAGUUUUUCUCGAGGAAAUUUAUCUGAUAAUCAAAUACAUACAUUUUGAAAUUCCCUUUUCAAAGCAGUUAUUCCAGCAUGUUUUGGCAUGAAGUCGAGUGGAUGGAUUCAGGCUAAUGCAGCUGUCUUUUCUUGCUUGGCUUGCAGUGGCUGUUUGGUGGCCAUUCUCCGUCCCUAGGACUGCCCCCCUCUUCCACAGUGGAGCUGGUGCCCGUCUUCCCACAUCUCUGCCCUUCUGCUCUUGCAACCCCUAUUGGGAAAAGUUGGAUAGACAAAAGGAUUCCUAACUGUAAGAUCUUUUUUAAUAAUUCCUUUGCUCUGGACUCAACGUGGAUACAUCCUGAGGAGUCAAGGUUUUUCCAUGGGCAUGAAAAGCCUCGUUUGCUGGCAAAUCAAGUAGCUGUGUCUCUGUCCAGGCCGGCUCCUGCCUCCAGGCCGCUCCCCACGGUGGUGUUAGCACCUCAGCCCAUCCCAGAACUAAGGGGCACCAUCAACCCAGGAGCAGAC